rnacentral:rRNA from 1 species
GACGAACGCUGGCGGCGUGCUUAACACAUGCAAGUCGAACGGAAAGGCCCUGCUUUUGUGGGGUGCUCGAGUGGCGAACGGGUGAGUAACACGUGAGUAACCUGCCCUUGACUUUGGGAUAACUUCAGGAAACUGGGGCUAAUACCGGAUAGGAGCUCCUGCUGCAUGGUGGGGGUUGGAUAGUUUCGGCGGUUGGGGAUGGACUCGCGGCUUAUCAGCUUGUUGGUUGGGUAGUGGCUUACCCAGGCUUUGACGGGUAGCCGGCCUGGGAGGGGGACCGGCCACAUGGGGACUGAGAGAGGGCCCAGACUCCAACGGGAGGCAGCAGUGGGGAAUAUUGCACAAUGGGCGGAAGCCGGAUGCAGAAACGCCGCGUGCGGGAUGACGGCCUGCGGGGUGUAAACCGCUUUCGCCUGUGACGAAGCGUGAGUGACGGUAAUGGGUAAAGAAGCACCGGCUAACUACGUG